UGUGCUGUCGGUGGGCGGUGGAGAGGCGUGACCCGCUCCCGGCGCAGGCAGGGGUGUGUGCGGGGGAACGGAGCGCAGAGCAUCUUUCGUGUUCGCCGGCGCCGCCAGGCUCCAUCCCCGCACCCGCUCGCCUCCCCCAGCCGGUAGCCGGGCCGUUCUUUCCCUUCUCUCUCGCGGCUAUGUCGUCGCCGUCGUCUGGAGAGCGGUACGAAGAGGAAGAGGAGGAGGAGGACGGCGCUUACGAGAGCCAGGCCAAGCGGCUGAAGCCCAGCGCCGCUGCCGAGGAAGGCGAGAUCGAGUACAGCGGCGCGGAGGAGAGCGAGAGCCGACGGGACCAUCCACCCCCGCCGCGUGGAGGGGCCUUCUCGGGCGGGGAUGCCGGAGGUAGUCAUCACAAAGUCUCUGUUUCUCCUGUUGUCCAUGUCCGAGGGCUGUGUGAAUCAGUUGUGGAAGCAGAUCUUGUGGAAGCUCUUGAAAAGUUUGGAACCAUAUGCUAUGUCAUGAUGAUGCCAUUUAAGCGGCAGGCUCUGGUGGAGUUUGAAAACGUAGAAAGUGCAAAGAAAUGUGUAACGUUUGCAGCCGAUGAACCUGUAUACAUUGCUGGACAGCAAGCCUUUUUCAACUACUCAACAAGUAAGAGGAUUACUCGGCCAGGGAACACUGAUGACCCAUCGGGUGGAAAUAAAGUUCUCCUGUUGUCAAUUCAGAAUCCUCUCUACCCAAUUACAGUGGAUGUAUUAUAUACUGUGUGCAACCCUGUUGGAAAAGUUCAGCGCAUCGUUAUAUUCAAGAGAAAUGGAAUACAAGCUAUGGUUGAGUUUGAAUCAGUGUUUUGUGCCCAGAAGGCAAAGGCUGCACUCAAUGGAGCAGAUAUCUAUGCAGGAUGCUGUACGCUAAAAAUUGAAUAUGCAAGGCCAACUCGACUUAAUGUCAUCAGAAACGACAACGAUAGUUGGGACUACACUAAACCAUAUCUGGGCCGACGAGACAGAGGGAAGGGCCGCCAGAGGCAAGCUAUUUUGGGAGAGCACCCAUCAUCUUUUAGACAUGAUGGUUAUGGGUCGCAUGGUCCUUUGUUGCCCUUGCCAAGCCGCUACCGAAUGGGAUCUCGGGACACUCCAGAACUUGUUGCUUAUCCAUUGCCCCAGGCAUCCUCCUCUUACAUGCAUGGUGGAAAUCCUUCUGGGUCAGUUGUCAUGGUUAGUGGGUUGCAUCAGCUAAAGAUGAACUGUUCAAGGGUCUUCAACCUGUUCUGCUUGUAUGGAAACAUUGAGAAGGUAAAAUUUAUGAAGACUAUUCCAGGCACUGCACUGGUCGAAAUGGGUGAUGAGUAUGCUGUGGAAAGAGCUGUCACGCAUCUCAACAAUGUCAAGUUAUUUGGAAAGAGACUUAAUGUCUGUGUUUCCAAGCAGCAUUCAGUAGUUCCAAGCCAGAUAUUUGAACUGGAGGAUGGCACGAGUAGUUACAAGGAUUUUGCAAUGAGCAAGAAUAAUCGCUUCACCAGUGCUGGCCAAGCAUCUAAGAACAUCAUCCAACCGCCUUCUUGUGUGUUGCAUUAUUAUAAUGUUCCCCUGUGUGUAACUGAAGAAACUUUUGUAAAGGAACUUGGAAUUUUUGCUAGUGUGUUUAUGUGCAUUUUUAUUGGAGUUUUACCUCUUAUUUUAUUUUUGUGACAGUUAUGUGAGGAUCAUGAAGUUCUCAGCUUUAUUAAAUACAAAGUGUUUGAUCCAAAACCUUCUGCCAAAACACUGUCUGGUCUCUUGGAAUGGGAAUGUAAGACAGAUGCAGUGGAAGCUCUCACAGUACUUAAUCACUACCAGAUAAGAGUCCCAAAUGGCUCCAACCCUUAUACCUUGAAGCUUUGCUUCUCUACUUCAUCCCAUUUAUAAGAGAAGAGAACAGCAUGUUAAGAGCUACGUUCACCUUGAUUUGCAAGUUUAAAAACUACAUUUUGUUCACAAAGCUCUAAAGUGGUUGUUCUAAUGUUGCCUUGUUUCAGCUUAAUUCUGAUAUCUUGUUUUAUAAUAAAUGGGUGUUCCUUCAUAAAUACAAAAGAUAUUUUCUUUUUGCCUCUGAGAAGUACAUGUUGUAAGCUUACUACAAAGUUUGUAUUUUGUUAGUGCAGUAUCUUCAAAUGUCUAAAGAAACAUCAGUAGUGUAAACAAGAUUGUUUUCUUCCAAAAUUGACAUAUAUUUGAAUUUUCGAUAAUGUUAAAGAUUAGCAAGUAUUUUUCCAUUUGUAGUCUUAAUUAGCAGAUAGAACUAUUGCAUCAGAAUUUUAAAUGUGGAACUUGUUUUUCAGUAUGUUAAGUAGUGAAGUAUGUUAUAAUACUAAAAAGCUUGUAUUUAUAAAAUGCUUUAAUCAGGUUGAUAUUGAACAUAGCGAUUUUUUUUUAGUAGUAUAGACUUAUUGAUUUAUAGUUCAAAGUUAACAUAGAAAAUUAUUAAGUAUGUACACGUGUAUGAUGUGAAUUCAUAUUUCCGUAAAGUGGUUUUAGUUUUUUUAAAAAACUAUUUUCCAUUUGCAUUAGCGUGAUGCCAUCUAUAGCUAAUCCCACCAUAGGGGCCUUUUAAAAAUUAAAAUUGCAAGCCUA